rfam:Candidatus Pacebacteria bacterium RIFCSPHIGHO2_01_FTLL_46_16 rifcsphigho2_01_scaffold_293, whole genome shotgun sequence.
GCCGAAGUGGCGGAAUGGUAGACGCGCACGCUUCAGGAGCGUGUGGGGCAACCCGUGGAGGUUCGAGUCCUCUCUUCGGCA